CAGAGCAGCCCUCCUCCCUGCUCCUUCCAAUGAGACUAGAGAACACAGGCACAGAGAGAGAAAGAAAGGGCCCUUCUGUGGCACUUCAUGUGGUAAUGAGGCCACGCAGCACUCAUGUGGCUGGCAGCUCAGGACACAAUUUACAAGUCAUUGUUCUGCACCUGGUGCUCUCCCCCUGAAUUACCAGACCAUCCCCCAGCCUUUGGAGACCCUCACACUUCAGAGUUUAGGUGCUAAAGGCAUCGACAGAAGCCGUUUCAGUAAGCAGUGAACUGGCAGGUCACAACACACCAAGAAAUGGCAUAUAAUAAAGCCUUCCACAGUGUCCCACAGCCACCCCUAUACAGUGGAUAAUCAGCACCACGUCUCUCGGCCUGUUGGUGUGCGUAUUCAGCAACACAGCAAUGCCAGUCUGGCAGGUGCAAGCACAGUGGCCAGAGAGCAGCUCCACGGGAGGGAGCCUGUGAAGGGGGGAGCCCAUCAGUGUGGCUGCCGGCCGGCAGGCAGGCAGACACAGCCCUCCCUCGACAGACAGCUGCCCAGACGGCAUCUCUACCACGAGGCACAGGACACACUGAGGCUGGAAAGCUAGCACCGCUGAGGGGCUGCAGCACCAAGGCCAAGCUACUGCCUUGCUGAGCUUUCUUUCCAGGGACAGAGUGCACAGAAGGUUCAACCGCACCCCAAGUCCCUAAGGCCCCCAGACCUUCACAUUGUGGAGAGAAAUAACAAUGAUUUACACCGAGAAGUCACAGGAAGAUUUAGACAUGGAAGGUUGAGAAAACACGCCUGCAGCCUGGGACAGUCACUCCCCCCCAGACUCAAGUUCUGAAGAACUGGAGAGGCAGCAGUGCCCCGAGCUCAAAGAUGACGCUUCAGGAAGGACAGUCUGCAGACAGCUGCAUGGCAUGGACGAUGGAGUCUCACUUGUGUCUGACUCAAGCUGCUGCCUCCUCCCGAGAUGGCUAAAGGGGAGACACCGGGCUCACUGACCUGGCACAGGACCUGAGCACUUGUCCUGGUUCUUCACCUGCUCUCAAGGAAAAUGUCAAUUUUACACAAUUCAUGGGGGAGGAGGAAGAGGAGGAGGAGGAGGAGGAGGAGGAGAAAAAGAAGAAAAAUAACCCCCCAACAACAACAAAUGUGUGAUUUUUCUGCCAUAAGCUACUUCUGACUCACGUGUUGGUUCAUGACACAGAGAUGAUCAUAUCCAUUUCCUCUAGCAUCCCAUUUCCCACAUGCCAAGAAGCCAAGUUCCAGUCUGGAAGAGGUUGUGGCCACCGCCCUUGCCCUUCUCACACUGUACCCCCCCCCCCUCCUGGAUGCAAACUCACAGAAUCUGAAAGCUAACAAUCUCCUUGUGAAGCCCUCCAGCCUCGGCUGGGAGUCAGCACUGAGGGCCUGAGUGCUUCAUGCAGUCACAGGGUCAGCACUGGGCAGACCCAGGGCAGCUGUUAGAGGAAUGUUUAAAAGCAGUUACCGACGCAAGCCCCUCCUGCCCACAGGCAGAGCUGGCAAAGCAAUGGCCCUGCGGCCACUGGCAGCAGGGGUGGCGCUCGCUCCGAGCCCAUACAAGCUGUAAGAAGCUGCCUAUGGGGAAGUUGCCAUCACGGGCAACUUGUCGGAUCUAGAUGUCCGUUUCCUCAAACAGUGAGAUGACCUUGUCCUGCAUCAAGACUUUGAUUGAAGUCACACAACAGUGCUGUCUAAGGUCCUGCACACACGCUUCCUCAGGGCUGCCCAGACCCUCCUCAUCGGUAGUCACCACUGUCAGGCAGAAACCAGGCUGCCCCAAGUUUUGUGAUUCCUGGACAGUGACAUCAAGACUGAUGCUGUGCAUUACAGCCUGUUGGGGACUGUCCACAUGUAUUGCCCCCAUGAUGAAGUGACUGACAUCCUCAGGGGUGCCUGAAGUGGAAAUUCCUAGGUACUUUGGAGACUCAGUUAUGUCAUGUGAUGUUGUGCUGAAGCAGACACGGGUGAGAGGAUGUUGUGCUGAAGCAGACACGGGUGAGAGGAUGUUGGGCUGAAGCAGACACGGGUGAGAGGAUGUUUGGCUGAAGCAGACACGGGUGAGAGGAUGUUUGGCUGAAGCAGACACGGGUGAGAGGAUGUUGGGCUGAAGCAGACACGGGUGAGAGGAUGUUGGGCUGAAGUAGACACGGGUGAGAGGAUGUUGGGCUGAAGCAGACACGGGUGAGAGGAUGUUGGGCUGAAGCAGACAUGUGAUGUUUAGAAAGAAUUUAAAUAUAACCACAGACAGUGACAAGGCUCUUGCAUUGGUUCGCCUUGCACUCAGUUGCUGAUCUUUGUAUGUUGUAACUUCAUAAAGAGUAACUCGCCAAAGAACUCAUGAUAUUCUAGCAGCUCUGGCUGGUGAGACAGAGGUUAGCCACCUGGGGUGUGGCCUUCAACACAGGGCCCAAGGUCAGGCUGCAGGGUGAAACUGAUGCAGCCUUCUGGACUGUUCCAGAUGAAUCCACUUGACGCAUUCAGCAGGUCAAGGGUGGAAACUGUUCUCAACAAUUUAUGAAACAUUUCCUGAUUGCUUACAGGUGCAGCGCUGGCAACUGCAGGGGCAGAGGGACAUACAAAGACAGCUCUCUGGCAGAAGGCAGAUGAUUCAGAGGGCAAGCAGCCCUACACUGUAGCAAGGAGCACAGGGGAGCACCGCCAGUGGCAAGGAGCAUGGGGGGAGGGGGCACAGCUCAGAGAACACGCAGCCUCAUGGAAGGACUUCCUUGAGUCCUCACAGUGCUUACAGUGCCCUGACCCGUGCUGGUGAAGGAAUGACAGAUUCCUUCUCACACAGAAAAGGGGGAAGUAGACAUGGGCUCUAGUAAAGUGCUCUGGGACCAAUAAGUCACUGUGGAGUAGGACAAGGACAGAAAAGAAACCUCAGGGCUCAGCCUGUGUGGGGGACAGGCAGCUAAGACAUGGUUAGGAGGGACUCGCUGAGAGACACGUGAGGAGCACAGCGUCGUUCCAUCCCAGGGAGGCUGGAGUUGCACCUGUGCCUGUUGAGUGGUGGUUUCAGCGAGACGCUGGCUGGUGCCUGUGUGUGGCUACACCCAUGAUAGGGUCUCAUCAUGGAUCUCAGACUGGCCUGACUCAGAUCCUCCUGCCUCAGUCUUUGAGAUCUCAAAUGACAAGAUCCUAGAAUGGGUAUUAAAUCUGGAGAAUGGCAGGAACUCACAGGAGGCAUGCAUCCUCCUACAAAGUGCAGGGAGUAAAACAACUGUGUAGUGUCCACUGCAGUGCCACGUGUCCCUGUGGGACCUCAGCAUCAUCUACCCCUUGCUCUCCUGUAAACACGGUGGAGCCGAGAGUCUGCUCUUUUCCAGCACAGGACAGGCAUUUGGCUGUCUAUUCAUCCCUGGUGUUUGCAGCUCAGCCAAUGCUGACAGGAGAUGCUCAUGAGGUGCUGCCCAGUGUUGGGGGUCUCACGGCUUCAGCUCUGGAGACACAGAUGAAGAACCAGGAGGAGAAUUCCGGUUACAGACUAGCUAACUUAAGAGUCAGGCGGCUGCACUUUGAAGACCUGGAGUAUGUGACCUAAGUCUGUGGGAAAGGAAUAUUUACUAGGUUCAAAUAAUGAUGUAUUUUUUUUCUUUUAGAGAGUUCUCUCUGCAUAGCCCCAUUGUCCUGGAACUUGCUCUGUAGAGCAGGCUGGCCUCGAACCCACAGAGAUCCACCAGCCUCUGCCUCCCAGGAUUACAGGCGUGCAACGACUCACCCAGCUAUGAAUGAUGAGUUUUACAACUUAUUCCACGCAGGAGGGUCUCAGUCUUGGGUACACUAACCCUGCGGUGCUGGCACCUCACACAGAAGAGGCCUGCCAGAUCAUAAACCAGAAGCCAUGCCAAAGCAGCACACAGCUGGAUUAACAUCUGCAUGUCAAAGCAGCACAGAGCUGGAUUAGUAUCUUCACAGGGAGGACAAGGGUGUCUUCCUAUUUUUUUCUAUUUACUUAUUUUUACAAUGUUUAAACAAGAGAAUAUAAUAACCCAGCAGGGCUCCAGGCAAAAAGCACUCGGGGCUGAAAAGAUGGCUCAGCAAUAAAAAGCUGUUCUUUUGGAGGA